UCUGGUGCCUGGCCCCAGCUGGAUGCAGCACCGUUCACCACCACUCUGGGCCUGGCCAUCCAGCCAGUUCCUAACCCAGAAAAGACUGCUCCUGUCCAAGCUGAGGGCUGACAGUUUUCCAGGAGUGUGCUGUGGGAGACAUGAACAGGCAAAAUGAAGCCAAGAUCCUUUAAAAGGCUUGGGCCUGUUUAUUGAAAGUCAAGACAACCGAAGAUGAGACCCCAGGGAAGGGACAGCUGACUACAUUUACAAGAGGAGAUCAGUCGAUGUUGUCUUCCUGGAUUUCACCAAGGCUUUCAACCAUGAUAUCCUUAUAUGCCAGAUAUCAAUUUGAGUAGUAAUUUAUGAAAUAAUAUUUUCAAGAAAAAAACCUGAUUCACAUUACUAUAGAAAGGAAAUCCAUUUGGAAAUUUGGAGGCAAGCCAGGAGUAGACAGUGCACUGGUAUAUCUUCUGCUAGUGAGACAUACACAGAUGCUCACUGAAGUCAUGCACCUCUAUUUUCUUUCAGCAUCUAUGAAUCCUGAACGCUCCUUUCCACAUAGGAGUGGGACGCAAUAAGUUCUCUUCCAAGGGAACUGUGAUUAUAAAUAGAUAUGCAUCACUGAGGCAGUCAGGUUUGAAGAGGAGAGGAACAAAUUUGUUGUCAGAGAUUCAUCUGAACAAUGUGUAGAAAACAAGACUUGGACCACACACUGGCUGUUCUUCUCUUACCUACUAGGAAGAAGCAGAAAGAACAAAACAGGAACAUCUGGAAAACAAAUACCGCAGGAUCCUUCCCUGAAAAGUAUGUCAUAUGCUGUUAAUAAGCUUAAUAUGCAAUGUCAACCCUAUUUGACAAACAGUUAACAUCAGCUGCAAACA